CGGGUAAGUUCCGACCUGCACGAAUGGCGUAACGAUGGCCACACUGUCUCCACCCGAGACUCAGUGAAAUUGAAAUCGCAGUGAAGAUGCUGUGUAUCCGCGGCUAGACGGAAAGACCCCGUGAACCUUUACUAUAGCUUCACAUUGGUAUUGGGUAAUUCAUGUGUAGGAUAGGUGGGAGACUUUGAAGCGGCGUCGCUAGGCGUUGUGGAGUCAACCUUGAAAUACCACCCUUUGCUUAUCUAGAGCCUAACUCAGAGAUGAGGACAGUGCUUGGUGGGUAGUUUGACUGGGGUGGUCGCCUCCAAAA
rnacentral:rRNA from 1 species